AUUAUCCUGCGAUGCGCGUAAGCAUGUGAUAUGUUUUUGAACCUUACUGUUUUUUCGGGACUUCAAAUCGGUUCGUUGACGCCAGGCCCACUCUUUUGACUGGGAUUGCGAACAUACGUAACAUGAGGGGACCCACCUGCGAGAGCGGGUUCGAAAAACAGACAUGCGACGGCAAAGCGGGGCGUAC
rnacentral:other from 1 species